rnacentral:tRNA from 1 species
CUGUUGCUCAGUGGUAGAGUGCUUGCCUAGAAGGCAUGGGACCCUGGGUUCAAUCCCUAGCAG